UACGUAGGGUGCGAGCGUUGUCCGGAAUUACUGGGCGUAAAGAGCUCGUAGGUGGUUUGUCGCGUUGUUCGUGAAAACUCACAGCUUAACUGUGGGCGUGCGGGCGAUACGGGCAGACUGGAGUACUGCAGGGGAGACUGGAAUUCCUGGUGUAGCGGUGAAAUGCGCAGAUAUCGGGAGGAACACCGGUGGCGAAGGCGGUUCUCUGGGCCUU
rnacentral:rRNA from 1 species